GGUCGGAGCUGGUGUAGUGGUUUGAGUGUUGGGCUAUGACUCCAGAGGUCAGGGUUCGAUUCCCAUUCAACCA